ACUCGACCUUCACCGAGACGUCUCUGUGGCGGAGUACGAGCAAGCCAACUGACUGACACCUCGCUGGACACCGACCCACUUGAGGAUGUAUACAACCAAGUUGGUAAACUAUUCACCGCACUUACUGCAGACUCGUAAAGCAAACAGAUAACAAUGUCUCGUCUUGUGUUUUUUUUUUUUGUCCUUGAAAAAUCUCCAGCGUUGUCACUCUUUUCGGGUCAACCUUUCAUGAUGCACAAAUAGUCGUUUACAAAGUGUCGGGGUGAUACCUGUUAUCGUGAAAACCUAGAGUGACACUCAUAAGCGUUUUGUGUACAAAAACAUAGCGGUGGUAUCUUUUCAUACUCGUGCACAAUAAUAGGAAUAAAAGUUAAAAUGUCUACGCUUUGUGUGAGAAUGCGAGGAUUAAGAAUUUUUUUCGCCAGAUGCUGGCGUUUUUAAAGGUCAAGCGAGGUGCAUUUCUUUUCUAAUGGUUGGUUAAGUUCAGCACGAUCUGAAUGAAUACUCCCCUUUCCUAGCAGGAGAUGCUUGUCUACACACAUGAUGCAGAGAAAGAGGUCAAAAUCGUGACGUCACGUUUGUACACAGAUACGCCUGAUUAAACAUUGUCCUGAGGCUCUCUAGCUGACCUGAGGUCUUCACAACAUAAAACGUGUCCGUGCACUCUCCUACGUCUAUGUUGUUCACCUCUCUUCCUGUGCAUGGUGAUUUUUGUAGGCGUGUACCUGGAGAGGAGGAUAAUCACCCACAUCUGAUGAAACAGUAUCUUGCUCUGAGCUUUACCGAAGACAAAAUCGUCCAUCCCACUAGACCUGUAACUGACUGCCAUAUACAGAGAGUAUGACAACUAAGACCUGGUGAUGUUCUGGCUGGCGUUGGUGGUCGUUGAUGGGUUUCUCGCCCUGCUGUCACUCUUGUCACCAUCACUAGUCGUUUCCAAUAGAUAAAAUCCCACAGAGAUGUUCGGGUUUCGUGUGGUCGGAUCGUUGCAUCAAAAUCGAUCGCCCCGGGGGCCGAAUUUGGUCGGGCCUCCAAGCCACUUGGCUGCCGGUCAAUCCGCUACACGCGAUAAAGGUGAGGCAAUGCAAGACAAAUACACUGACGUCAGCUGAGGAACGGUUUGAAUUAUAAUGACUACCUUCCAUAGAUAAGGAUUGAACAAACAAAAGACUACAGGCAGACUAUUUCUUCUGCUUGGGUCUUAGAAAGAUUUUUCUAACUGCAGAAAACGUGCAUUGUGAUUCCUUCAUAGCAAUAUAGUUUGAGGGGUUAGGUCCUUGAGUGACCAAUUCUUAAAGGAAGUCAUUCUACAUAGGGGAAAUUAGGUACGUGGUAUGUACAUUUUUAUAAACAGUUUAAGAUAUUCAGCAACAUAUGUUAGAGAGUAAGAUGGCAUUGUUCAGCUUUAAUUCUAAUGAUUGCACAUCUUGCAAUUUACAUUGUUAAUAGAAUGAUUAUUUCAUUUAAGUUUACUUAUUUAAUUGACGAUGCAGUUAUAUGAACUGUAAAAUUCAAAAUCUCAAUAAAAUGGUCGAGCAAUUAAUCUCAGAGUAAAUUAACUAUUGGGUAUGCUGCUGUUGAGAUGAUUCUAAAAGGCACAUAUAUUAUGGCAUGCCAUACACUAAUGCAUACACCCAAACAUUAAAUAAUGCAUUAAAAUACAGUUUGUGUGUGUGUGUGUGUAAUAUAUCUAUAAGAUGGUAUAAGAUUUAGUCACAACACAAACGAAACAAAACCAUCAUGCAGCCUAUAGAACAUAGAAAAUUUUUAAUGAUCCAUAUUUUAAAUGUUGAACGCUUUAGUACCCAUUAGUCAUUGACAGUUCAUUUAAAUACACUUUAAUGCACUUAUAUAUAUAUAUGCCCUCCAAUAAUUGUUUCAAUCUUAAAGUUAAACGAACAUCUCUGCAUUCUGAUCUGCUGGAGGAUUUUUGAUUCUUAUGCAAGGGCAAUAAUCCAAAUAAUGAGCAUGGUCUCAUGGUAAGCUAUGUCCCUUAAAUUUGCAAAGACUUUAUAUACAGUUUGAUUUUAGUCUUCUACCUCCCCCCAACUCCCUCUCCAAACCAGUGUCUAACAAAAGUGUGUACCUGUAUGCCAAUAUCAUUUGAAGAUAUGCAGAAUUACAAAAAUUAUGGGGUCAAAAUCUUUUGUAAGCCUUUGAGCAUACAAAGAGCAGGCAAGCUCAAAAUAUUAAAAUGUUUGUGAUUUUUUAAAUAUACAUUUAGUUAUUCCCAUGGAUGCACAGCCAUUUAUCAAAUAACAGUGAUGAAGAAAGUUGUUUUAUGAUAAUUUCAACUUUUUCCUCAUUUGGCAAAUCUCUUCGCCCCCCACCCCCACUACCACCACACACACACACACAGACAACUUUUAAUUAAUGUACCCAUAAAGACUGCAAAAAUAUAACUAUUGCUCUUAGUAGUUUUAAUUUUUUUACUCUGAUACAAACAUCUGUUUUAUGGAACUCUUGUAAACAGAUAGCAAAUCCAAGAUUCAAAGAGCAGUUUUAAAGCAACUGAUUGUAAGCAGGAAAUAAUGUAUAAAUAGGUGCAGUGAAGUGUUCAGAUAAAAACAAAAUUCAGUUUUUUUCAGCCACAUGUUCAUUCACAUGUAUUUCACUGCCAAGUGCGUUCCUUUUGCUAACUUUACAAUUGUACAUUAAAAAAAAAUGCAGACUAGCUUGGUCCAAUGAUAAGGCAUUAAAAAAAAAUAGAACCAUUUUUUGGGGCAUGUCUAGCACCAAAUCAUAUCAAAACAGAGUCGUAAGGUUUCAAAAAAA